rnacentral:rRNA from 1 species
GAUGAACGCUGGCGGCGUGCUUAACACAUGCAAGUCGAACGGAAAGGCCCGGCGUUUGCGGGUUUCUCGAGUGGCGAACGGGUGAGUAACACGUGAGUAUCCUGCCCUUGACUUUGGGGUAACUCUAGGAAACUGGGGCGAUUACCCGGGAUGAGCUCCUGCUCCAUGGGGGUGGAUGGAAAGAGUCGGCGGUUGGGGCUGGACUCGCGGCGUACCGGCUAGUUGGUGAGGUAGCGGCGUUCCAGGGCUAUGACGGGUAGCCGGCCGGAGAGGGUGACCGGCCAGCCUGGAAGGGAGACACGGCCCAUAGUCCUACGGGAGGCAGCAGUAGGGAAUCGGGCGCAAUGGGCGGGAACUUGACGGAACAGCGCCGCGGGAGUGAUGAAGAACGCCGGGUCGGGAAACUCGGCUAUGAGGUAAGAACAAAUUUGUAAGUAACUAUGCGCGUCUUGACGGUACAUGGUCAGAAAGCCACGGCUAACUACGGG